UACGGAGGGGGCUAGCGUUGUUCGGAAUUACUGGGCGUAAAGCGCACGUAGGCGGACUUUUAAGUCGGGGGUGAAAUCCUGGGGCUCAACCUCAGAAUUGCCUCCGAUACUGGCAGUCUCGAGUGCGGGAGAGGUGAGUGGAAUUCCCAGUGUAGAGGUGAAAUUCGUAGAUAUUGGGAAGAACACCAGUGGCGAAGGCGGCUCACUGGCCCGUAACUGACGCUGAGGUGCGAAAGCGUGGGGAGCAAGCAGG
rnacentral:rRNA from 1 species